UUAAUUUUUAUUUUUUAAGUAAUCUCUACACCCAAAGUGGGGCUCGAACUCACAACCCUGAGAUUAAGAGUUGCGUGGUCUACACACUGAGCCAAUCAGAGGCCCCUAAAAUAUUGUUAAAAGGAAGAUCCAACUGGGUAAUAGACUGGUCUGGAAGAGGAAGUAACCGCCUUCGCUCUCCCAAAGGCAACGGAAAUACAGAUGUUCACAUUUGCCGUAUCUGGGUGGUGGAAUUAUAGCUGUGAAUAUGGGAGGGGGCCAUGCAGCAAGGAAGGCAGGUGGUCUCUAUUUGCUGAGAGGAGCCCCUAGCUGAUGGCCAGCAAGGAAAUAGGGGCCACUAUCCUACAACUGAAAGGAGCUGAAUUCUGCCACAACCAUGUGACCUAGGAAGGGGACCUCAAGCUCCGGAAGGGGACCUCAAGCUCCGGAAGGGGACCUCAAGCUCCAGACGGGAACACAGUCUGGCAGACAUCCUAAUUUCAGCAUUAUGAGAAUUUUAACAGAAAAUCCAGCCAUACCAUGCUGGAAUUCUGACCUAGAGACCUGGGAAAUAAAUACUGAGUGUUGUUCUAAGCAACUGUAUUUGGGUCAUUAGUUAUGCAACAACAGAAAACUAAAAAUCCCCCUCUCAUACACACACAACAUACACACAUACAGUGCAAACACAAAUGCCAAAUGCCCUGUUUAUUCACACUUUUAUUAAUAUAAUAAAAACAACAGAAGGAUGAGGUUUCAAUAUUUUAUUCAAGUUUUACUUUAAGUGAUGUUAAUUACAGCAUUUGAAGGGGAGGAUCUAAUUCCACACAAAAUGGAAGACUCUAAAAUGUACCCAUUAAACUGCUAAAAAAUAAACUGAGUGGUGAGAAUAUAACAGAAGUCCAAUUUAGAUUCCAAAUGUUGUCACCAUGUGAUUACAGUCACAGAGACUCUUCCCAGCUUGCAGCUGGGACUCUUAGAAGCUAUUUCAUACUCUGGUGCAAGGGCAAAAAAAACACAACAUGAGAGGGAAUUAAGUCCUGAAUUAUUGGCUUCAUCACAUCCACCUUCUCCACCCCAAAUGGCACAAAAGAAACAGCUACCACGCCCUGCAGACUACUUUUGGUGUAAAAGAGGUGAUGGACUGGGGUGGAAACAGGUCACGAAAAUCUGUCUAAAAAAGUCUCUUCCAGAUGAGUUUGUACACACCAUCAGUGAGUCUCUCCUUCAUUAGG